rnacentral:rRNA from 1 species
AGCAGUAGCCGCGGUAAUACGAAGGGGGCUAGCGUUGUUCGGAAUUACUGGGCGUAAAGCGCACGUAGGCGGAUAUUUAAGUCAGGGGUGAAAUCCCAGAGCUCAACUCUGGAACUGCCUUUGAUACUGGGUGUCUUGAGUAUGGAAGAGGUGAGUGGAAUUCCGAGUGUAGAGGUGAAAUUCGUAGAUAUUCGGAGGAACACCAGUGGCGAAGGCGGCUCACUGGUCCAUUACUGACGCUGAGGUGCGAAAGCGUGGGGAGCAAACAGGAUUAGAUACCCGGUAGUCCCUGUCUCUUAUACA